GGUUCGACACGUGGUCGAGGUUAGUGUAGAACACAAGUUAGUGCCGUCGUGGUAUCCACUUCGUUCCAUUUUUAUGAUUUUUUUUAUUCUCAAAAAACUCAAAAUUCAUCGAUCUUUUUUUUAUUUUUUAUUUUCGAUCAUCAACUUCAAUCUACACAUGAAUCAUCAACGGAAACCCAAUGAUUUCUCUGAAGCUAUUGCAGCAGAUUUGGGCACUUCAAACCCUGAAUCCAGACAAAGGCUAGAAAUGGAAGCUGAGGAUCCGAUAGCUGCAAGGAAAGUUCAAAAGGCUGACCGUGAAAAACUGAGGAGGGAUAGAUUGAAUGAGCAGUUUCUUGAAUUGGGAAACACACUUGGUAACGUAUACCCAGAUAGGCCUAAGAACGAUAAAGCAACCAUACUCGUCGGCGCAAUCCAAAUGCUAGAGGAUUUAACUGCAGAAGUCAAAAGGCUAAAAGCUGAGCGUUCAUCACUAACCGAAGAAUCACGUGAGCUGACUCAAGAGAACAAUGAGCUGAGAGAAGAAAAGGCUUCUGUGAAAGCUAAUAUCGUAAACCUAACUGUUCAGUAUCAGCAAAGACGUAUGAUGAUGUUUCCUUGGACCGGUAUCGACUCUUCAAGUGUUAUGGCUCCACCUUAUCCAUAUCCAGUUCCUUUGCCUGUCACUACAGGCCCAAUAGUAAUGCAUCCCUCGCUGCAACCAUAUCCGUUUUUUGGAAAUCAUAACCCAGGUGCUAUUAACAAUCCCUGUUCAACGUUCAUGCCAUAUUCAACCAUGACAAGCAACCCUCUGAUCGAACAGCCAUCAUCCCAAUAUACAUCAUCGUCCCACACUUCUAGUAAAAGGGAUUCCAAAAGCAAAUUGGCGGAUCACCAAAGAGGAAGUAAUAGAGAGAGUAAUGGUUCCAACGACGUGAGGACGAAACUCGAACUGAAAAAUCCCGGAUCAUCAACAAACGAGGAUUUAUCUGCCAGAAAAAAGAAAGGCAAGGAAGAAAAAAAGGAUAGAACAAAUGGUUGCUCGUUGAACUGUUACUCUUCGUCUCAAGAUCUUAAAGAUAGUUCUUCUAACAGUGUGAAUGAUGUUUCGAAGUCCAACAAGUGAAACAAUUCUUUUGCAUUCACUUUUCCGGUGAUUUCGGUUGCUUGCAUAACAAGAAAAACAAAGAACAUCAAGACCAAAACAUGAACACUUACCAUUCGUAGUUCCUCCGGAGUUAUAUAUCCAUCUCUAUCUACAUCAAAUUUCUCGAAAGCAGCCUGUAACCGCAUUUGCCACUUAUCGCAAUCAUGUUCUUCCAUUUGAUUCACAUGUAGUGCAGCUGCAACAAACUCGGUGAAAUCAACAAGUCCAUCCGUGUUGCUAUCAAUCUGUGACAAAACAAUCAAACCGCUAAAGGAACAGAAAAGAACGAAUGACCUUAGAUGACGAAAGGGAAAAUUUUACUCACCGCUUGAAGAAUCUCGAGGACACGUGAAUCUUUUAGCUUCCAAGGAAGAUCUUUAGCAAGGGCCUGCACUGAAACCAUCCUAUUAGGGACAAAAACAAAGAAGUUUUGUGCAACCUAAUAGACGUUAGGCACACGAUAGAAAUGUUCACCUGUCUCAUCUCUUCGAGACUAAUAGAACCGCUCUUAUCCACAUCGAUUGCAUCAAAUUGGUCCCGAAGAUCGGCUAUCUCUUCUUCA